CAUUAAAAAAAAAAAAAAAAAAAAAGAACUCGACAUAUUCAUAUCUCCAUUUUCCCCUCCACGCCAUGGCUUCCUCUACUUUUCCUUUAACCAGCAAAAUUCGUCUCAAUUUAAGAUCGAUCUGCGCAAACCCAUCACUAUCACCAUUGUCAUGAUCUUCUUCUCUAACAGAUCUUCUCCACCACCGGCCACCAAACACAUCUUGUCAUAAUUUCAAGUCGUUCACAACCUAACUAGAAGGAUCCGAUUUGCUGCUGCCAAAACCAGAUGAGUAAUAAUAUGGAACAAGUGUGCUGAUCUAUUGGCUAGACGGGGACAAAUGCGAGGUCUAGAGGUGGAGGAAAUUGUUUCCCCUCCACCUGAGGUGGAGUCUCAGGUGUUAGCGGACAUAGCUGGAGGAGCAACUGUACUGUACAAGUGUUGUGUAGACAUUGGAAAACAUGGUCCAUUUCGUAGAAACCUCUGAGAGAUGGUCGAGGUGGCUUGACAAGUGGUCACAUUUUUUGCCUUCCAAGUAGAAUCAAGCAAAUACCUGUCACAGGCCAAUUUCCAAAUUCAACAUGUUUAAUUAGUGAAAAUACACCACUAGUAGUUUAAGGUACAUCCAAGACGCUUGGGCAAGAAGACCAGAGAGAAGGAAUUCACCCCAGUGACCGAUCUCAUCUGACCUUGACUGAAUCGAACAAGGAAGACGACUUAUCCGAGUGACCUGAUUCGUGUAAAUACAAGGGGUAUUAUAUAUUAAUGUUUAUUAGGUAUUCACACACAUUUCCAUGUUGAAUCAUUGAUAUGCAAUUAUCCAUUUUGAGUCAAAAUUUUUAUGAAUUUAUUUU